rnacentral:pre_miRNA from 7 species
UGUUUACCAUGCAUCAUUCUUCUGACCAUGUUCUAAUGAAAGACCCCCGAAGGGAGACCCUCACUCAGACACUCAAGUCCCGGGACAGCCGCGGACCCAAGAAGACACUGAGACCA